rnacentral:lncRNA from 1 species
GGAAGGGGGAUGUUUGCCCGGAAACCGGGAAAGGGAAUAACACUCGAAAUGUAUAUAAGAAAUACUCAAGUUAAUAAAAAAAAAAAAUUUAAAAAAAAAAGUGGGUAGAGAAGGAGGAUUGGAGGACCUGCAUUUGCAGACGUUGCACAAAGGUAUGAGAAAGUAGAGCGUCUUAGACAAAAGGACGGAGCUAUUCAGGAGGGUAAGAUCCCAACUGUAAAGGGUAUUUGUCUUCUUAAGCAGUAUGGAUGCAAUUUUGUUGGACCCUAAGCUCAGCAUUCUUGAGGCUUUCUAGAAGGGCUCUCGUCAGACUCCCAUCCCAGACCAACUGUCUCUGAAACACAAGGUGGAACCUAGACAAUUACUCUAGCGAAUCCUCCAGCUACUGUUCAUGGACACUGAAGGGUAGGAACCAUUGACCAAUGAUGGCUUGAUAGAAAAACUAAGCACAUGCAGAGAAACCAUUCUCUUCCCACAGAGCAAAUGACGAGGUUCUAUUUUCAAAUGAAAGAAUUGCUUAUGCAUGUGAAAGGUGGAAGUCAGAGGAGGGAUGACUGCAGAGAGACUGUUAGGAGACCAUGUAUGGCAUGUGCCAAAUAAAGGCAAGGAAAAUGGCAGUCAGGGUGGCAGGAAGGGCAGACUUGUGAGACUGCGCUGACAGAUAUGACAGCUGCAUGUGGGAGGCAGUGGAGGGUUAAUGUCCAGGGUGACCUAUUAAGUAGCAGUUGCCUUGUGAGUGUUGUUCAGAUGCACUUCUGGGCAGCUCACCUAGACUUUGAUGCUUACACACGCCUCCCCUUUAGGGUGCUUUUGUGACUGCGGUUUAGAAAAGGGCCCUCUCCUAGUGACUGAUAAUGCACAAAAAAUGCAUGUGAGCACUUUCUGCCAAUGGCCCGCCCAAGAUCCAGGAUUUUAAGAACGAAGGAAACACAGUAAUCAGAAAGACCUACUAUCCGACUUCUCAGGGGCUGCGUGCGAUCCUGGGGCAGACAGGAAAUAUACAACCGUGGAACAUCCUGGGUUGCUAUGCAAUUUCAAAAACAAAAUGCUCAGAAGGAGAAAAACUGAUGAGCACACAUUGCAGUGACCCAGGAAAUAGCCUGGAGCAAAGGCAUGGAUAGCCAUGUGGGGCAGCGCUUUAGAAGGAUACCUGCUAUAACCAUGAGAUUUCACUCCUUUACAAAAGAUCCUUGCAUGUUCCCCAAGGUAUCCAGCUCACUAACGUUAAAGGCAGAUGCAAAGACUGCCUCAGACAGGAAGAUACGAAGGGGCAGCAGGACGUCAUGCAAUUGGGAUUCUGAGUCCAAUCCUAAAGCACAAAUAGACUGGAGAUAAAAAUGUGACCCAAACUUGGUAAAUCUGAAAUAAAGACUAAACUAAUUAAUAGUUUUGUAAGCUCACCUCUAAGCUUCAAUGAGGUACACUGCCAGAUGCUGACAUUUACGGCAACCUGGCUGAAAAACUGGCUGAAUUAUAUAGACACUGCAUAAAUAUUGUUUGCAAUUCUUCUACUGGUCUAACAUCAUUCAGAACAAAAGUUCAAAAGAAAAUGAUUGUCUUCAUAGGAAACCCCCAGCUUCCGUGGAAGGCUCCCAGAGGGUGAUCUAGUGACUGUCAUUAUUGUAAUUGACUUGAGUCUUGGAACCAUUCUCUAUGUCUUAAUUCUCUAAAGAAUUUAGACAGAUGCAUUUAUAUUCAAGCUUUAUGAAGCAUAGGCUUCAGAGUUGUCCCCUUUUAUGCAGCCCACUGAAAGGUGACCAUUGAGAGAAACUAUGGAAUAUUCUGCUUUCUUGAGGAGAAACUGGGUUUUGAAGGGAAACGUGUAUUCCAACUAUUCAUGGCCACUGCCUAAAGGGAGCUCGGAAAGAAUGUAAAUCUCUAAGCUGCCAGUCACUUGUUAUUUCAUUUUUCAUUCAAAACAUAGUUGCUUCUAAAUGUUCUCUUUGCCUCUGAUUUUAUAUUUACAAUUAUUUUGUAAAAGGUCCAUGUACAGAUUCAUGCCCACCUAACCUGCCUAACUCUAAUUACUGAGCACAAUAUUCAACAAUGAAGUAAGUAGAAAACAUAGUCAGUGUUCAUUAGUCACAAAUGAGUUGUCCAUGAUAAUUUGUAUGCUUUUCUGGGAUAACAAUUCUGUCUAGGGUACCUUUAAGAUUUCUUUCUAUGGGGUUGGGGAUUUAGCUCAGUGGCAGAGUGCUUGCCCAGCAAGCGCAAGGCCCUGGGUUCGGUCCCCAGCUCUGAAAAAAAAAAAAAAAGAAAAAAAGAAAAGGGAAAAAAAAGAUUUCUUUUUAUGUGUACAGAAAGGAUGUUAACAUUCAGCAGGACUCUUAGAGACCUUCCACACACACUUUGUUUCGUAAUGAGUAGAAAGUCAGUUCCCUAGUUAAAUAUCAAUGGCCCUUGAAUUUUGACAUCUUUAUUCAGGACUCUUUCCUCUUUUUGUUUAUUUUUUUUAUUUUUUUUUUAAACUUUGGACAACAUGGGUAUCCCAGUCAGUAGAAACCGUGCUUCCCACUUUGAGUCUGGCUCUCCCUCUGAGCUAGCGAGUCACCCGCUGUGCUACACUCUCUCUCGAUGCUGGAACAAUAGCUGUUCAGUCAGGAGAGUACACGGCCCAUAGUCUAUAGUCUCCCGAGUUGUCAAAUGAUGACGUUCGCUCUGUCUGAUGUAGAAAAUGAAUUUUUUAUUUAGAAUAUUUCCAACUUACAGUGAGUUUCAGCUCCCCUAAUGAGCGGAGGGACAUCAACAAGAACUUGUUUCUAGGAGGCAGAAAACUUAAGGAGACUCAGACCUGUGUAGGUUUUGGAAUAGGUCAGAGGAGAGUUGGUGGGGAUUGUAUACACUGUGCUAGAAUAAAACUUCUACUUUGUUUCUCUUUUUGGCAAUCUAAGGUAACAACAAAAAGCCUUGCCUCUUUUUGCACUCAGUACAGAAAUGUGUGUGGUUUUUAAAGGGUAACGAUUUCAUAUUAUUCCAGUUUAUAUACAUUAAACAAUUUCUAAGAGCCUUUUAAGUCUAGGCAAGCAUGCUUCUAUAUUGCAGACUAAAGCAGAGGAUAUAGGUACGGUUUGGGACUGCUGGAAUUAGGGUUGCAGUAAUGUCCCCUCAGGGCUAGGACACCUCUUCAAAGCAGGCAUGUGCUCCCGAGAACACUUGGUGCCUGAAGACUUUGCAGUGACUGCAGUCUACACGGUGGCUCCAGGCUGAAACUGAACCCACUGUUAGCCCAUCCCCCAUCAGUCCGGAGCCAAGCCUUGAAAUAGCUCUGUUGCCGCCUUAAUGGCAUCUCGGACAGGAGCAAAUGUUCUCCACGGUGGCGCCUGUUGGCUCUAAUCAGAUAAAUUAAGGAGUUGAGCAUGUUUCCACCAUUUGGUUUAGUUUUAUUUUAGUCCCCAAGUCCCUUUGCUCCCAUUUCAAGGCUGACAUUUUCUCAUUGUGGAGGCCCCUGCUUUAUCACUGAAGAAGCUUCGAGUAGAAGCAUCACCUGUCUCACCCAUGCUGAGAUGCAACGUUUCCAGCAGACCAUUGCACGACUACACUUUGCUAUCACAAAGGCCAACUCUUCGUUUCACUGGGCAUGCUUCAACAUCCCCUUCACGAAGAAAUGGAUUCUCACUAGGCCUGAUAUCCUCCUAGUGGCAGAAGGCAUCCCAUAACUACAGUAGCUGCCAAGGAUGUCCUUCCGAGCUUAAGGAGUUGAGCAUGUUUGCACCAGUUGGCUUAGUUUCAUUUUAGUCUCCGAAUCCGUUUUUCCAAGCUGAACCAGAACCAACAGAUGACACCCUCUCUGUGCAUGUUCAUAAUUUCUCCUUUAAAACUGGAAGCAAUGUAAAAACAAGCAGAUGAGGAGGAAAAGGAAAGGCCAAUAGAGCUGACAGCCCUUGGCUUUGCCCUUCUCUGUGUCUGAUCCACUGAACUUCCCGUAAAUUGUCAAUCAACUAAUGAUUAGAGAAACAUUGUACUAAUCCAGUGAUUUCAUGAAUGAUCCAUCUACGAAAGGCUCUUUUCGCCUGGGGAUAGAAAUAAACUGCACUCAAGGCAAUGAUCAAUGCAGAAGUAGUAGGGUCAUUGAAAAGCUUGCAUUCCUGUUUGAUGCAGAGUUACAGAACACCACUUUUGCCCAGGACGGUCAGCUCCUAGGAUGUGGCUGUGGCACGAUUUUCACCUAUUCUCACCCUCUUCUUGUCAUCCGGGUGGUCUCCUUCUUCAUUUAAUAUAACUUCACAUGUGAUCACCGCCCCUUAAGACACGCAGUUCUCAACCCUCCUACACAGCUUGUGCUGUUUCUGGAGAGGCUAACUCAUUCGGCUGGCAUUGUGCAAAGCAGGAAAUCAAUAAACAUUUAUUGAAUUAAUGCAGAAAAGACAAUUUUUCUUAUGAAACAUUCGAGUGGCUUAUUUUUAUUUAUUAACCCCUGAACUCAUCCAGUACAGUAUGAUGUGGAAAUUCUCACCACUUGUGAGAGUUUACGCCUGAGGAAGUGGAACAUUUGCCUGAAAAAAUGUUAUUUUCCAAGGAUAUACAAUGUUUCUACGGCUGAGGAAACACUGAACGGUUGUUUUUUAAAUUCAUUCAUUCAUUUAUUUAUUUUUACUUAUUCACUUUACAUCCUGCUCACUGCCUCCCUCCCUUUCACCCCCUCCCAAAGUCCUUCCCCCAUCCCCCCUCCCCUUCUCCUCUGAGCAGGUGGGGGUCCCUGGGAAUUCCCCACUAGAGACACUUCAAGUCUCUCGGGUUAUGCACAUCCUGUCCUAGUCAGAAAAGUCAGCCCAGCUAGAAGAACAUACAGGCAACAGCUUUUUGGGAUAGCCCCCACUUCAGUUUGAACUGUUACUCUUAAUCGCACUCAGGACCCUGCCUGCCUCCUCCCACCACACCAACAGAUCUUGAUAAGAUAGCUAUGUAACCUGCCUUCCAAACUGAGACACUUUGACCGUGAAAAUGCCAAACAUUCAGGACCUAACUUCUAGAUGCUCUACAGUUUGUUUGUCGCUGCACUAAGUCUGGAGGAGAGGAAAGCCAAUAAAAGUGUUAGCCUUUGUAGUUGACAUGGGAUGAUGUCAUCCCCAUAGGAAGUACCCUGGGAAAGACACAAUGUACUUCCGAUUUUUACUAUAUUACUUCCGAAAUUCCCAUUUCUUCUCUCACAUGUUUCUACCCUGGAUAGAAGCCCUGAGAAGCAAAUGCUGUGUUCUCAUGCAUGCCAGAAAGUGGUGACAUUGGGUGUUUUCUUUAGUUAUUCACUACAUUAUGACUUGAGACAGGUUCUCACAUUGAACCCGAAAAUCUCUGAUUGAGCUUAGCUGACUGGCAAGUGAACUUCAGGGAUGCCCCUGCCUCUCUCUCCCCAGUACUGGAGUCAUAAGGACACACCACCAUGGACAGAUUUUUACAUGGGUGCAAAGGAUAUGCGUUCAAGUCCUCAUGCUUGCCCAGCAAGCCCUUUACUGACUGAGCCGUCACCUAGCCCCUCACCUUUGAUAUAUGUGGGUUGAUGUCUACAUGCAGGUGAGGGUAGGCACAAAACAAGGCAAGGCCUGUGAUUGGUCAGUGAAAAAGAAAGGCAGGCUGAGAAUUUUAGAGACAGGACAGAGAGAUAGGAGAGAGGGGAGAAGGAAAGAAGAUGGAGGAAGAGAAGGACGACCCAGAUCUGUGUGACUUUUAAAUAGCCACAGGUAGCUAUGAAUAUCUUAUAAGGGAUAGAUAACUACAGGACAACUUGUCUUAUCUAGAUGGGCAGUUUAUAUCAAUAUCUAUUGGCUCUGAGUUUAUUGUGUGGACAUUUGGUGGGGUGAGAAUUUACUGAUAUAAAUCUGAUUGAUAAAUUAGAAGCCUCUACUUCUUCCUCGGUGCUGCCUGCGAGGUGGCUGCCCUCUAAUUGUGGCAUCAUGGCUGCCCUUUGGCCUCUGGUGAAGUCCAAGAUCGUCAAAAGAGGACCAAGAAGUUCAUCAGGCACCAGUCAAACAGAUAAGUGAAAAUUAAGCAUUACUGACAGAAACCCAGAGGCGUUGACAACAGGGUGAGGAGAAGAUUCAAGGGCCAGAUUCUGAUGCCCAACAUUGGUUAUAGGCCCAACAAGAAAGCCAAACACAUGUUCUGCCUAGCAGCUGCCAGACGUUUCUAGUCCACAGUGUGAGGGAGCUGGAAGUGCUUCGGUGCAACAAAUCUUCCUGGGCUGAGAUUGCUCUCGAUGUUUCCUCUAAGAACUGAAAAGCCAUCAUUUAAAGAGCAGCACACUGGUCAUCAGAGUCACCAAUCCCAGUGCCAGGCUACGCAGCGAAGAAAAUGAAUAGAUGGCUUGUGUGCUGUUCAAAUAAAUCCACACACACACAAAAAAAGCAAGACUCUAGAGUUUUGAUUGUACUGGGAUACUGGGAAUUGUGACUAGAACCAGAGAGGGUGGAUGGCUGGGAAUGUGAGCAGAGUCUGCAGCAAGAAGGCUUUGAGAUUGGCAGUCUCUGCAUGGGGCUAAGCCAUAGAGGCAGAGAGACUGCUAGGGCCAGAAAGCAGUUAGCAUGGGAUGGUGUUUCCUUUUUUUUUUACUAUUUCCCGAUACAGUUAUAUUUGGAUAAUUUCGUCUGAGUUCAUUUACAGAUCUUUCUUAAAACAGAAUCCCAUUCCUUGCCCAGGCUGAUCUGAAACCAAUGUGAACCCUCAGUGGCCUUCAGCUGGCAGCAGUCUCCUGCCUCAGCCUUCCAAGUGUAAGGAUUACAGCAUGACUCAUCAUGCUCAACUAGACAUUAUCUGUCAAUGAACAACAACAAGAAUUAAAACCUCUUAGAGUUUCUAUAACAAACCCAUUCACUCAGCAACUUACAGAGCAACAACACCAACAAACAAAAACACCGAAACAGAUUCAACAAAGACAGGAAGCUAUUUUUCCAGUUUACUUGUUUACUGAGAUGGGACACAUCUUCUUCUCCACCACAGUGUCAAGCUCUCUCCGUAAGGGGCCCUUACUCGUCCUUGGGUAUCCAUUUUCAGGGAAUCCAGAAUGUUUUGCAGGGGAAAAAUCCUUCAUUUUAAUGAACUCCAACUUCUCUGUCAUGGAUACGUCUUUGGCGUUAUAUCUGAAAAGUCACUGCACUACCCUAGGUCACUUAGGCUUCCUCUGAUCACCCAAGAGUGUUGAGGCAUUAUAAUUUACCUUCAGGCUUAUGAUUUACUUUAAGUUAACAAUCUUCUUGGUAUUCUUUGAGAGCCCCAAAUCCACAGUUUCCUCAGUCGUAAUUAAUCUCUUGUAUGUCUAUCCUUUCAACUAAAUUCACUUGUAUGACUAAAGAAGACUCAAUUUGCCCUCAUUAGGUUUUAGUUACUAAGCAGUACACCUCCCUGUACCACAUGAUCAUGGGAGUAACCACUUCCUGAUUUAUCUAUCAUCUCCAAAUCACAUUGAGAAGGCUAGGCUGACUCCAUAACAGGCUUCAAAUUGUCAGUUCAGGAGAGUAGGCCUAAAUCUCUGUUUCCAAGAAGUGUGCAAGUCCAAGCAAGUCAAGGCCUCAGAAGCUGCCCCAUCACUGGGGCUGAGGCAAGGACAAUGUGUCAGCAGCAAUUU